GUAUUGCUGAAGAGUCCCAAAACUGGGACAAAACAGCUGUCCAGUAC
rnacentral:hammerhead_ribozyme from 1 species